GUAAUGCUGAUUCUUUUUUCCCCUCUUUAAGGGAGAGGGUUCUAUGAGGAAGAGUGGAAGAUUCAGGGCCUCCUGUGAUGGCUCCACACACAGAAGCUCUGCCGGGACGUUUACCAAAACUAGGCCAAGAGCACCUUCUCCAACAGGCAGCUCAGGGCCCUCAUCGGACUGAGGGUUAGCCCUGAUGCUGCCUCCUCAGAUUUUGAGACGUUGGGUGGGUUUCCAAACCGCUCUGAGCCUCAUUUUCUUUUUUCUUUUUUUAAAAUAUAUUUUUAUUGAUUUCAGAGAGUAAGGGAGAGGGAAAGAGAGAUAGAAACAUCAAUGAUGAGAGAGAAUCACUGAUCGGCUGCCUCCUGCACGCCCCCCUCCUGGAGAUCGAGCCCAAAACCCGGGCAUGUGCCCUUGACUGGAAUUGAACCUGGGACCCUUCAGUUCACAGGCCAACGCUCUAUCCACUGAGCCAAACCAGCGAGGGCUGGGCCUCAUUUUCUUUAUCUGUUUUUUUAAAAGAUGUCAAGCAAACCUUCCUUCCGUUACUUAAUAUCUGAAGUAUAUAAUUCAAGAAUAAUUAACUGAAUAUUUUCAUUCACUGUUGCCUUCAGAGCCUAUUGAUAAGCACCCAAAAUGAAAAGUUUCCUUGCUUAUUAUUAUACUUCAACUUUAACCAAAAGAAAAACAUUUACCAAUUUGGCAUGUGUUUCUCUUCUGAAGGUAACAACUUGGAAAGGCUUGCAUUCGUUUGAAGGUAUAGCUUUUGGUUAUUUUCUUUUUUCAAAAUAGUUUUAUUGAUUUCAGAGAGGAAGGGAGAGAGAUAGAAACAUCAAUGAUGAGAGAGAAUCAUCAAUUGGCUGCCUCCUGCACAGCCCCCACUGAGGAUCGAGCCUGCAACCCCGGCAUGUACCCUGACCGGGAAUCGAACCAUGACCACCUGGUUCAUAGGGCAAUGCUCAUCCUCUGAGCCAUGCCAGCCAGGCUGGUUCUUCUCUUUAGAAAUUAGUCACAGUAUGUAACCCCACCUUAGUGGGACCAGAGAAGACGAGUGGAAAAUUCUUAUUUUCAGCCUUUGUACUUCCUCUUUUAGAGCCCUGGAUGCAAAGGUGGAUGAUUCUUUCCAUGAGAAACAGCAGAUUUUACUUCCUAGGGCUGUAACAGGUACCACAAACUGGGUGGCUUAACAACAGAAGUGGAUUGUCUCACGGUGCUGGAGGCCAGAAGUCCGAGAUCAAGGCCAUGCUUGCUCGGGACAUCUUGCCUCCUCCAGCUUCUGGGAGCCACAGGCAUUCUUUGGCUUGUGGCAGCAUAGCUCUACCUGUUUCUCUGUCUUCACAUUGUCCUCCCUCGGUGAAUAGCUAUGUCCAAACCUCCCUCUUCUUAUAAGGACACUAGUCAUAUUGGAUGAAGGAAGGACCUCAUCGUAACUGAUGACAUCUGCAGUGACCUGAUCUCCAAGCAAGGUUGAGAACUGCUGGACUGGAGGUUAGGACUGUAACAUCUUAGGAAGGGACACAAUUCGAUUCUUAACGGAGUAACAGAAACAAGCUCUAGAUAAUUUAGACAGAAAGGGACUUUAUUAGAGGCAGUGGAGAAAUGUGAACAGCUUUGGGGGCCCAGUGCCAGAGCUCACAUACCCUCUCUCUCAAGUGUUGCCACAAUGGGACUCAACUACCGCAGUUCCCAGUUCUCUCCCUUUAAAUUCUGGGUUCCCGGGGGAGAAGGUUUGAAAGGCUCAACAGACUGAGGCAGAUACCCAUCUUGGAAUCACCAGUAGUGACUGGGGACAGUCAUAGCCUGCGUGUAGACCUACCUGGCUGCUAGGGUACACCACCCUCCCCCCAACCCCAGGCCAAUGGCAGUUCUCAACACGGUGGAAAUGACUGUGGACCUGUCAGGAGACGUGUGUCACCCACGCUUCUGUAAGUGAUUCAGUUAAUAACGCUAUCCACCACUUAUUGGUCCAGCUGUCAAGGAAUCUGGUUUGCUUCUCCUAGUUUGUAAGACAUCAGCUUUUAUAUUUGUCUCAUUUUAAGCCAUCAGCAAUAGAGCUUCACUGUAUACAGGCAGAGUGAAGGGGGAGGUGGAAGUUCAUUGAUGUGAUAGGCUCGAUAAAAUGCAUGUAUGUGUUCAGUGUUUCUAAGUUAACUGACACCCAUGGACUUCGGUGUAACUGCUAGGUUUACAGAGAGAUGGAAGGUCUUAAACUGGAUGGGUUGGCCUCAGUGACUCAGCUUCCCAGAGCUCUACUGUACCCUCUUCUCACUCCGCACAGUUUACUAGGUGAGACACUGAGCCCCAGAGAAGUGCACUGACUCACCCAAGCCUUGCAAUCGGUCCCUCAACUUCCAGUUGUCUGCUCCUCAGACACAUCAGACAGACAGACAGAUAGCUGAUUCUCUGUGGUUAUCUAGUGAUGAGGAUAUAUGUAUAUAUGCCUGCAUGGUGUGUGUUGUAUGUUUUAUACAGUUCAUGGUAAACAUUAAUUGAUUUGCUUUAGUGGGUACUAUUCACAGUAGUUUCCGGUUCCUUUUAACACAGUAUAUUCCAGCCCAGUGCUUCCCAAACCUGAAUGUGCAAGCAGCUCACCUGGCGAUCUUGUUAGAAUGCAGAUUCCGAUUCAGUGGGUCUGGCAUGAAGGCCGAGGCUCUGCAUUUCUAACAGCUCCCAGGUGAUGACAAGGUUCCUGACCCACCGUAAAGCUCAGCAGACAGGUGUACUUGAACUUACAUCUGUAUGUAAAGUUGACCCUUGAAAACAUAGGUUUGAACUGCGUAGGUCUACUUAUGCGGGUUGUUUUCUCAAUAAAUAUUGUAAAUGUAUUUUUUUAUGAUUUUCUUAAUGAUACUUUCUCUUCUUUGUAUAUAAUACAUAUGCAAAUAUGUGUUAAUUGACUGUUUUGUUAUCAGUAAGGCUUCUUGUCAACAGUAGGCUAUUACUAGUUAAGUUUUGGGGGCAUCAAAAGUUAUCCACAGAUUUUCAACCAUGCAGGGUCUUGGUGUCCCUAACCCCAAGUUGUUCAAAGGUCAACUGUACAUACAGAAAUGUGUACAAAUGUGUGCACAGAAUCAGAAACACACAGUUAUUAUAUGGGAGAAAGAAAAAGCUAAGUCUAAAUAGAGCUCUCUGAAAUGCCAUCUCGCCACAAAAUCCGUCUCAUCCGAUACUGUGAUGAAUCAUCCACAUCAAGCAUUGUUUCUGUUCUCCAAAACAGCCAUUAUUCAUAACUUGAAGUUAAUGAGAGUAUAUUGCUCUCUAGACUCUAUUAAAAUUGCUUGCACAUCUCAUUGAUUCUGAAAAUCAAUGUCAUUUUGAUUAUAUUUUAGAGAUUUAUUGAUAAUCAAGUAAACAUGAAAGCAAAUACCAUAAUGGAUUUUCUGGUUACUUACUAAAAUGACUGGGCUUCUAAAGGUGUUUUUUUUUCCACCAAGACUUCAUUAUGGUUUCCCAGUAGAGUAAUGUCAAUGAAAGUAGGCUGCUCUGGGACGAUGUAUUUCAUUUAUAUUCUCCUGUUUACCAUAAAGUCUUCUGGGUACAGUAAGGAAAAGCAGUCUAUUAAAAUUGCCCCCUCUCUUUCCAGUCCCUUUAAUUGUUUGUUGCCUAAGAGUAGACUGAACAUGUUAGACAGAGAAGACUGUUGAUGGAUAGACCAACAGUGGAGAUCAUGAUGACGAUGCUGACACUAGCUCUCAUUUUUUGAAUACCUGCUUUAUAUCAGGCUCUGUAUUCUGCGCCUUACAGAAUAGUCAUGGUUUGUAAACCGGGAUCUGCAAACCUAUUUGCAAGUUAUAGUUAAGAUUGUUUUAAUUUUGCUGCUAAUCUGAAAGACACACUCUAUAAUCAAAUACCCAAGUUUUGCACUGAAAGAAAGGAACAGAGAGAGAAUGAGAGAGAGAGAGAGAGAGAGAGAGAGAGAUUGAAAAAUUUUAAUUAAAAAGAACUGAUCUCAUGGGAAGAAAAUUAGUAUAAUAAAAAAUUUAAUAUGAAAAAAAAAGAAAGGAAGGGAAGGGAAGAAAAGAAAAGAGAAAAGAGACUAAUUACCAGGGUUGGGACUAAGAUAGGCAAGUAAGAUUCUUAACUCACUUGAAAAUUUUCAGGGGACUCCCUCCAAAAAAGACACAGAAACAACUUCAAUCAUCUAGACAAAUAUUUUAAUGCAACAUUUUUUUAAAAAAAUCAAAAUGAAUACAAAACAAUUUUAAGUAAAGACAGGCUCCAGCCCUGCACCGCUACACCCAGCCUCACUCC